rnacentral:rRNA from 1 species
UGAGUUUGAUCCUGGCUCAGAUUGAACGCUGGCGGCAUGCCUUACACAUGCAAGUCGAACGGCAGCACGGGUGCUUGCACCUGGUGGCGAGUGGCGAACGGGUGAGUAAUACAUCGGAACAUGUCCUGUAGUGGGGGAUAGCCCGGCGAAAGCCGGAUUAAUACCGCAUACGAUCUACGGAUGAAAGCGGGGGACCUUCGGGCCUCGCGCUAUAGGGUUGGCCGAUGGCUGAUUAGCUAGUUGGUGGGGUAAAGGCCUACCAAGGCGACGAUCAGUAGCUGGUCUGAGAGGACGACCAGCCACACUGGGACUGAGACACGGCCCAGACUCCUACGGGAGGCAGCAGUGGGGAAUUUUGGACAAUGGGCGAAAGCCUGAUCCAGCAAUGCCGCGUGUGUGAAGAAGGCCUUCGGGUUGUAAAGCACUUUUGUCCGGAAAGAAAUCCUUGGCUCUAAUACAGUCGGGGGAUGACGGUACCGGAAGAAUAAGCACCGGCUAACUACGUGCCAGCAGCCGCGGUAAUACGUAGGGUGCGAGCGUUAAUCGGAAUUACUGGGCGUAAAGCGUGCGCAGGCGGCUUUGCUAGACCGAUGUGAAAUCCCCGGGCUCAACCUGGGAACUGCAUUGGUGACUGGCAGGCUAGAGUAUGGCAGAGGGGGGUAGAUUCCACGUGUAGCAUUGAAAUGCGUAGAGAUGUGAGGAAUACCGAUGCGAAAGGCAGCCCCUUGGCCAAUACUGACGCUCAUGCACGAAAGCGUGGGGAGCAAACAGGAUUAGAUANCCUGGUAGUCCACGCCCUAAACGAUGUCAACUAGUUGUUGGGGAUUCAUUUCCUUAGUAACGUAGCUAACGCGUGAAGUUGACCGCCUGGGGAGUACGGUCGCAAGAUUAAAACUCAAAGGAAUUGACGGGGACCCGCACAAGCGGUGGAUGAUGUGGAUUAAUUCGAUGCAACGCGAAAAACCUUACCUACCCUUGACAUGGUCGGAAUCCUGCUGAGAAGCGGGAGUGCUCGAAAGAGAACCGGCGCACAGGUGCUGCACGGCUGUCGUCAGCUCGUGUCGUGAGAUGUUGGGUUAAGUCCCGCAACGAGCGCAACCCUUGUCCUUAGUUGCUACGCAAGAGCACUCUAAGGAGACUGCCGGUGACAAACCGGAGGAAGGUGGGGAUGACGUCAAGUCCUCAUGGCCCUUAUGGGUAGGGCUUCACACGUCAUACAAUGGUCGGAACAGAGGGUUGCCAACCCGCGAGGGGGAGCUAAUCCCAGAAAACCGAUCGUAGUCCGGAUUGCACUCUGCAACUCGAGUGCAUGAAGCUGGAAUCGCUAGUAAUCGCGGAUCAGCAUGCCGCGGUGAAUACGUUCCCGGGUCUUGUACACACCGCCCGUCACACCAUGGGAGUGGGUUUUACCAGAAGUUGCUAGUCUAACCGCAAGGAGGACGGUCACCACGGUAGGAUUCAUGACUGGGGUGAAGUCGUAACAAGGUA